rnacentral:rRNA from 1 species
CCUACGGGUGGCAGCAGUGAGGAAUAUUGGUCAAUGGGCGGGAGCCUGAACCAGCCAAGUCGCGUGAGGGAAGACGGUCCUAUGGAUUGUAAACCUCUUUUGGCGGGGAGCAAUGCCGGGCACGCGUGCCCGGAGGGAGAGUACCCGCAGAAUAAGCAUCGGCUAACUCCGUGCCAGCAGCCGCGGUAAUAGGGAGGUUGCGAGCGUUAUCCGGAUUUAUUGGGUUAAAAGGUUGCGUGGGCGGAUUUUUAAGUCAGCGGUAAAAUGUGCGGGCUAAACCCAGGCGGGCCGUUGAAACUGGGGAUCUUGAGUGGGCGAGAAGUAUGCGGAAUGCGGGGUGUAGCGGUGAAAUGCAUAG